UCCGGUUUGUCACCGGCAGUCUCAUUAGAGUGCCCAACUGAAUGUAGCAACUAAUGACAAGGGUUGCGCUCGUUGCAGGACUUAACCCAACAUCUCACGACACGAGCUGACGACAGCCAUGCACCACCUGUGAAGGUGUCCCGAAGGAAAACCGUGUUUCCACGGCGGUCACCUACAUGUCAAGCCCAGGUAAGGUUCUUCGCGUUGCGUCGAAUUAAACCACAUGCUCCGCUGCUUGUGCGGGCCCCCGUCAAUUCCUUUGAGUUUCAGCCUUGCGGCCGUACUCCCCAGGCGGGGUACUUACUGCGUUAGCUUCGGCACGGAGGGAGUCGACACCCCCCACACCUAGUGCCCAUCGUUUACAGCGUGGACUAC
rnacentral:misc_RNA from 1 species